CAAACCGAACAAACCGCCUCCGGGGGCAGUUUGGUCGGUUUGACAAACCGGUUAGCGGUUUUUGAAAACAAAUGACACAAACCUUUUCGAGAUCAAAACCAGUUUUACAAAAUAAAUCGAAAGUUUGGCAAACCGGUUUGAAACCGAACUGAGUUUGUUACAAACAAAAGCGCCCUAAGAAAUCCGUGAUUUUACUUGCAGGCAUGACUGAUUAAUGGAAUUAUUUUACUUUUAUAUAGAAUAUGGACGGCACUCCAGUACAGCAUGUGCAUGGUUGGCCUGUUGACAAUUUUAGAAACGCAUCUUGGUCUAUUAUACAGAGUAUUGUUGUACUGCUCCAAAGUGCUUGUUGACAGACUGAAACCACUUGCUUGCGGCUCAUAAGGUUCACUUCUUGAGAGCAGGCAGCUACAAAAUGGAAGGUCAACAAAUCCAGUAUACUUGAAAAGCAAGAAAGAAACACCAGAAAAUAUAAAAAGACAGAAGAACAAGGGAACUUUAAAAAAAAAAACUUUUAAGGAUAGGAAUUCAGGAUUUAUUUAGAAACUAAAUUUAUUUUGAGAAGAGCAGUGUUUGACAAAGCGCUCUGUUACUUUAAGAGAUAAUGUAUUAUCACAUUGGUUUUGUUAUUGUCGAGCCCGCUUGUGGAAGCGAAGACAUAGUUGUCCAAAUGUCUAUUUGGCAUAUGUGCGUGCGUGCGUCCGUCCAUCCGGAUUUGUUUGUCCGGACCAUAAUUUGGACAUGCAUGGAGCAAUCUUGUUUAUGUAUAGUAUGAAUGUUAACCUCAGUGAGACGGAGUGUCAUGCGCAAGCCCCAGGUUCCUAUCUCAAAGGUCAAGAUCACACUUACAGGUCAAAGGUCAAAUUCAGAAAUGACUGUCCGGAGCAUUUCUUCUUCAUGCAUGGAGGGAUUUUGAUGUAACUUGGCACAAUUGUUCACCAUCAUGAGAUGGAGUGUAUUGCGCAAGAACCAGGUCCCUAGGUCUAAGGUCAAGGUCACACUUAGAGGUCAAAGGAUACAAGAAUGACAACUUUGUCUGGAGCAUUUCUUCUUCAUGCAUGGAUGGACUUUGAUGUAACUUGGCACAAAUGUUCACCACCAUGAGAUGGAGUGUCAUACGGAAGAACCAGGUCCCUAGGUCUAAGGUCAAGGUCACACUUAGAGGUCAAAAUUCAGAUACAAAAAUGACUGUCUGGAGCAUUUCUUUUUGAUGCAUAGAUGGAUUUUGAUGUAACUUGGCACAAUUGUUCAUCAUCAUGCGACGGAAUGUCAUGCAAAAGAUCCUAGAAUUACUUCCCUUUGUUGUUACUAUAAAUAGCUUACAUUUGUAACUUUUUUAUUACUGGUCGUAGGGAAAAAUCAAGACUACUUUUCUGCAGUACAACAUGCAUGUUACAUCCAAUUUUUAGGUGUAUUUUGACCUAUCUCUGCUGGUGCGGAUUUUUUUUAAUUUUUUUUUUUUUAAUUUUUUUUUUAAAUUUUACGUUCCUUUGUUGUUACUGUAAAUAACUUAUAUUGUAACUUUUUGCAAUCUCUUUUAUUUGGCAUAAAUGUUUGCCUCAAUGAGACAAGGAGUGUCAUGCACAACUCCCAGUCCUUUUGACAGCUGGCGGGCUUGACAUAUUGCCCGUGGGUAUCUAGUUCUCAUAUUUUUCAUGAGAUUUUAAAGAGAAUGUUCUGUUUUACCCCCAUGUAGUAAGCUUGUUUGUCUUUCAGUCAGUAGGUUUUCAUGGCUUCCAGGUGAUAACUCAUGAAAAGCUUGACCGCUUUAAAUAUUUUUUGUACAUAGUUACAGGUCAAGUUCGACUUCGGGGUCAGUAGGUCAAAGGUCAAGAUAACUUGCAAACGCUUUGGCCUGGGAUCAUAGCUUUUGUAACACAGGUGUAACAUGAUAAAAUACAGGUUGUUUGAAUUUGAGGUCAAUAGAUCAAAGGUCAAGGUCACAGUGACCUUGAACAGUUGAGCCGUUUCUGAAUGAUAACUUGAGACCUUGAGCCUAGGAUGAUAAAGUUUGGUACACAGGUGUCACAUCAUGAAAUACAGGUCAAGUUUUAUUUUGAGGUCAGUAGGUCAAGGUCACAAUAAGGCAAAACAGUGAAAUGUUUUUCAGAUUAUAACUUGAGAAUGCUUGUGCCUAGGAUCAUGAAAAUUGUUAGGGAGGUUGAUUAUGACCAGCAGGUGACCCCUAAUGAUGUUGAGGUCACAGGUAAAGGUCACACUGACCCGGUUCUUUAAAAUGAUGCACGGAGGGGCACAUGGGGUCUUCCUCCACCAUUAAAACUGGAAAGUCGCCAUAUGACCUAUCCUGUGUCGGUGUGAUGUUAAGUUCAACAAAAUAAAUAACUGUUCUUUAAAACGGGUUUUGGACAAUAACUUCAGGAUGCUUUGGAUGAGAAACACAAAAUUUAGUACAAAGUUGGUUUUGACCAGCAGAUUACCUGUAUUGAUUUAGAGUUCCAAAGGUCAGGAUGACCCGGAACAUUUAAACCUUUUCCAUACAACAACUUGAGAACACUUUGGCGGAGGAUCAUGAAACUAUAGAGAUUGAAUUUGAGGUCAUUAGGUCAUAGCUCAAGAAAAUGCUGCUUUGAUAUUGGCUUAGUUCUGUGAUAAGGCCAUAUUGUAGAGUAUAAUUCGUCACUCCUGUGACAACUCUAGCGUUUAGCUCACCUGAGCACAAAGUGCUCAAGGUGAGCUUUUGUGAUAGCCCUGCGUCCGUCCGUCGUCAACAAUUUGACUGUUAACACUCUAGAGGUCACAAUUUUGACCUAAUCUUUAUGAAACUUGGUCAGAAUGUUACCCUCAAUAAAAUCUUGGACACAUUUGAUAUUGGGUUAUCUUGGAUCAAAAACUAGGUCACCAAGUCAAAUCAAAGGAAAAGCUUGUUAACACCGUAGAGGUCACAUUAAAGGCUAUAUCUUCAUGAAACUUGGUCAGAAUGUUAAUCUUUAUGAUCUCAAGGUCCAGUUUGAAUCUGGGUUAUGUAGGGUCAAAAAUUAGGUCACUAGGUCAAAUCAAAGGAAAAACUAGUUUACACUCCAGAAGCCAAAUUUAUGACCAUAUCUUAAUCUUAAUGAAACUUUGUCAGAAUUUUAAUCUUGAUGAUCUAUAGGCCAAGUUAAAUCUAGUUCAGGUGGGAUUAAAAAUUCGGUCACUAGGUCAAAUCAAAGGAACAGCUCGUUAACACUCCAGAGGCCACAUUUAUGACUGCAUCUUCAUGAAACUUCACCAAAAUGUUAAUCUUGAUGAUCUUUCAGUCAAGUUUGAAUCUGGGACAUGUGGGGUCAAAAACUAGGUCACCAAGUCAAACCAAAGGAAAAGCUAGUUAACUCUUUAGAGGCUACAUUUAUGAUCAUAUCUUAAUGUAACUUGGUCAGAAUGUUGAUCUUGAUGAUCUUUAUGUCAAUAUGUCAGGUGAGCGAUACAGGGCCAUCAUGGCCCCUCUUGUUUAUUUGUUCUUGUUGUAAGAGAAAUUGUACAUUUUAGAAAACAGAUUACAGCAAGUCACAUUUUCUUUAUUUUGACAAUACUUAUUUCAAAGCCUGACAAAAGCAUCCAGUACUGUUAUUAAAAGUUGUUAUUCACAGUUCAGCUAUAUUUCAUGUAUGGAUAAAACAAGUUGUGUGAUCUGUGAUCAUUAUAAAUGUGUAUACAGAUAAAACUUAAACAUGUGAACAGUUUAUUCAAUAAAUAAAGUGUAAUGCAA